rnacentral:rRNA from 1 species
UACAGAGGUCUCAAGCGUUGUUCGGAUUCAUUGGGCGUAAAGGGCGCGUAGGCGGGCAAGCAAGUCCGGGGUGAAAUCUUUCGGCUCAACCGGAAAAGUGCCUUGGAUACUGCUUGUCUGGAGGGAGGUAGGGGCAUGCGGAACUUCUGGUGGAGCGGUGAAAUGCGUUGAUAUCAGAAGGAACGCCGGUGGCGAAAGCGGCGUGCUGGACCUCUUCUGACGCUGAUGCGCGAAAGCUAGGGGAGCAAACGGG